UCAGUCUUAGUGUGAUAUUUUCUUCAAAAGUUAUCAUAUGUUGGUUGCAAAGAAGUCUGUUGUGUAAAGUUAAGAGUCUACUUUAUGACUGUGUUUAACAGUUCAAAGUUUGCUUGAGCAAUAUUCACACAAGUAUGUGAUCUUUGAAGUGUCGACUAGGUAUGUGGCCUAUGGGUCACUUAACUAUAAUUAGAAUUUCGGAAAAUACCAAAUACCAAAUGGUAGUAAUA
rnacentral:lncRNA from 1 species